rnacentral:lncRNA from 10 species
UGAUGAGAUAGGCUGGGUGCAGUAGCUCUCACCUGGAAUCCCAGCACUUUGGGAGUUCAAGGCAGGAGGAUCUCUUGAGCCCAGGAGCUUGAGACCAGCCUCGGCAAUAGUGAGAGAGAGAGAGAGAGACACACACACUUACACACACACACGGCAGGAGGAUCUCUUGAGCCCAGGAGUUUGAGACCAGCCUGGGCAACACAGUGAGAGAGAGAGACACAUGCGCACACACACACACACACACACCCCUGGGCAACAUAGAGAGAGACACACACACACACACAUACACACACACACACACACACACACACACACAGUUUGAGACCAGCCUGAGCAACAUAGUGAGAGGCAUGCACGCUGGGAG